rnacentral:lncRNA from 1 species
GUGGGCUGGGCCAGCAGUCCUUCCUGCUUUGUGAGGCAGAGAUCAAGACUCCUCUGCUACGUGGAGGGGAGAACAUAAUUUUCAGGGCAGUUUCUCUCACUGAAGUAAAGCAGACCAAACAGAUCCAACAAAGGUAAGCACUCCCCCACUGCUCACUCCGCCCUCUUUCCUAAUGAGUUUCCUGCUUUUGUGGGACAGACCUAGAAGAGCUGCAAAAGAGUAGAAGGUACACGAUCGUCUAGAAAUUGCUUUGGAUUCCAAACCUGGAAAAAUAAGGUUCCAGUUUCCCACGCAAAACUUGUACAACAGGAUCUUCCCAUCGUUUGCUACCUUCCCAUAUUCACUAGUUCCCGGCUUUUAGUUUCGAAAAAAAUCUGUUGUCUGCCUACAAGAAAACUCAAAAGGAGGAAGGGAGAAUUUUUACUGGUGUCCCAUCCUCAGUUCAGAAGGUGAAGGAGCAGGGACAAAAGAGCAUGUGCAAUUUUCCUUGUGAUGAAGAGAGAAGUUAAAACAUGACUGCUCCUACCUACCGAAACCUCUCUCUGAUGUCUGUCCCCAUAACUGCUCAUCUGUUCUCAACUGUCUGCUACCACCAUCUAUACAACCAUGUGGUUGGAGACACACUGGAAGAACAUCCGCCAAGCCUUGUUGCUUCUUUUCACUGCUGCUCUUCUCAUCGGGGUCACCAUGCUGGCCAUUUCAUCUAACAUCAACCCAGUAGGCUAUUUCUUCCUAGGGGUGGGGGGAGUGUGUCUGAUCGGCUAUUUGCUGAGUGUGUUUGUUGAGUGUUACCUGAGGAAUCAGCACCGACAUGACACAAAUGAGAUACCUCCAAACAGGCAAAGCCAAGCAGGGGUAAACGCUGCCUAUGAAGCACCCCCCUAUGAGGAGGUGAUGACCAUGUCGGUUCCAGCAAUAUGGACGAUUGCAUCCAAUCCAGGCUUAGUGCCCUCACCGCUGAAUGAGCCGCCUCCCUACAAUGUAGUUAUUGAAUCAUCUGCCCAAGAAGAGAUUAUGGUGGAGGCUCUCAGGGUGUCAGUGGCAGCAGACACAAGGCACACCUCUGAGACAGACACUGGCUCCAGGAUGCAGCUGCAGCUGGUGCUGCCCCCAAGACUGCAGCGGUUUGUUUCGGACAUCCAUGAAGUGAAGGGUAUUGAAGACAGGCUUGAGCCACUGGAGCCACUCACUCCACCACCUGCUUAUGAGAGUGCCAUCAAUGAUGAGGUCUUUGAAGAGGCUUUCCAGCCCUCCUCUGUAUUAUGAUUAAUUUCACCUUCCAUGAAUGCGGAACCAAAUCCUCACCCCAGUACAGGAUGCUCCUAGAGGGAAGGUGAAAGAGCUGAGAUUUUUCACGCCUGAAACCAUAAAAGUUUGUCCCACCAUUCUUUAAACCAGAGCUGAACUACAGACACAGCUUCUGAAGUCACUAGAAUCUUUUUGCACAAAAUACAAAUCAAUGCAAUACCACAAUGCUUUUUCUUGGCAGAUGCAUAAAAACACUGUGAGGAAAGUUGUGUUAUAUAUGGCAACAAUUUUCCAACUGGAGAUACACCUUUAUGGGGGAGGAGAGUGAAUCACGAGAAGUGACAAAGUUGCCAAAGGACCUCUGAAGAAGGACUGUGGGAAGCAGCCAGGAGAAGCUGCCUGGGAAAGGGGAGGAACAGAAACAGCACUAAGUAGGUUCUGCCUGUGCAUUACAAACAGCAGUAUUGUUGAGAGCUGUUCAGCCACCCUAAAAUCCGUAUGGAGAGACUGAGGCUGCAGUUCCCCAAGUUGCUGUUUUGCAGCAACACAAAUUUAUGGUCUGUGCUGUUUGAUGCUACUCCUCUGCUGCACUUGCUCCGCAUCCUCAGCUGUGCCGCACCGCAGUGUAACCGAGGGGAGGGUGGCUGUCUUCAUCUGGAAGCUGGCACCACCUGAUACCUGUCACUUGGGGUUGAAAAGCUGAUGCCGAGCAUGGCACCAUGAAAGAACUAUUGUUCACAAGGUUCUCGUCCCACACAGCCUGCAGUGGUGGACAAGAGGGAGAUAAUAGCAGUUUUUCUCCCACAAGAAAGUCCAGCAGUGGAACACAUACACAUAUAUGCAUCCUCUGCCUGGACUGCCAGUCUGCGGAGCUGUACAGGAGGGUGUAUUUCUCUGCUGUACUACAUCCCCAAGCAUUGAUAGCUUGAGGUACCUUACUGUCAUCCUGGAGAGUUCUCCAGUUCUCCGUAGCAAUGCUGUGCACGGAGGCUUCUCUCUGGACUCUGGAAAGGGCCGCUCUGUCUGACAAGGCCACAGCUGCGACGGACGGCACCUGAGAAUCACAGUCCCGAGGCAUAUGCAUUCAUCAUCAUGACAGCUCUAGGCUGCAGCCAGGUUCUACCUCCACUGAUCACUGAUCAGUGAUGCUGUGUGGUCGUUUAAAACGGGUGAGUUAAGCUGAUAGGCUCUGCAGCACUAAAGUGGUCUGCAGUAUGCAAAGAGACAUUCAUGUCUGGUGAAUGUCCAAAUAAAAUAAAAAAAGAAAUAUGGUGGUCCGAAUCUCCUUAUGAAGGAGAGCAGCAAUCAUCACAGCCUUGUCUCAUACGACUGUGUCAUCUUUAAUUCAUAUGAGGAACCGUCAAACCAUAGGCUAGAAGCAAAUAAAUUAUUUCUGUUUGAUUCUUUAUAGUUCAAACUAAAAAAAGACCUUUUAUGUUGUUUAUAAAUAAACAGGACCGCAUUAAAAAUACCUGGUGUCAUCACUAGUU